UACGAAGGGGGCUAGCGUUGUUCGGAUUUACUGGGCGUAAAGCGCACGUAGGCGGAUUGUUAAGUCAGGGGUGAAAUCCCGGAGCUCAACUCCGGAACUGCCUUUGAUACUGGCAAUCUUGAGACUGGAAGAGGUUAGUGGAAUUCCCAGUGUAGAGGUGAAAUUCGUAGAUAUUCGCAAGAACACCAGUGGCGAAGGCGGCUCACUGGCCCGAUACUGACGCUGAGGCACGAAAGCGUGGGGAGCAAACAGG
rnacentral:rRNA from 1 species